GCGGGGUGGGAGCCGCCGGAAAAUGGCGACGGGGAGCGGGCUGCUGCUGUGCUGGUAAGAGAAAAGCCGCGCUCCUCCUGGAAAAACAGUACCGGCGUGCGGUGCGGGGGAAUGGCGGCAAGAAGGGCGGGCGGGUUGCACGGCAGCAGCUGAGAACCGAGUUUGGGCGGGAGCUCCGCCACUGACGCGGCGGCGGGAUGUCAGGCGACUCAGCCCGGCCCUGGGAGCCCGCCGGGACGUGGUCUCCCUCAGGUGCAGGGCCCCAGUUAGCAGCAGCUGCAGCGCCGGUUUCACUGUCAGUUUUCAAGCCUGUUAAUGCGGUGCUAAAGUGAGAGAAGGGAGGGGCUAACGUUCAGGCCCUGCGUCACGAUGACACAGACGCAACGCUUCAGGACGUAUGCUGCUGUAAUUCUCAAAGCACGGGUUGUAUGUCUGGCCCCCUCCCUGCAUCUGUCAAAGCAUUCUCCACCAUCUAAUACGUGUACUGCACUGUCUUACCCUUAGAAGCACCUCUUUAACUCCCCAUGAAAAAAGAUUCAUGACUGAAGAUGUCAGUUAGAUCAAAGUCAUGAUGCACUUGAAACUGCCAGCUUUUUCAGAUGGUCCAUGAAUACCUGGAGACUAACAUCAUCUGUCAAGAUUGGAGCUCCCGAUUCCUGCAGAAAAAUAAAGAAAUAAUGAGCCUAAAAUAGUGUUGUUGACACUGGGGACUAACUGAAAGCAAAUCAGAUGUCAGCACUUUGAACUAAUUGCCUACUAAAUCCACCACCUUUUUUUCUGCAAAGGACAGGUCUAGUGGAAAGAUGCUACUCUUAGGCAAUGACACUGACACUAUCUUCUAGUGCAAUUUAAACUACUGGAAAAAAGAAAGUCUCUUCUUUCUAAAGCAUUAGGAAUUUUGCUGUCCAAAGCUCUACACAAACAAGGUAAAGAAAGAGGAUAUAAAAGUCUAGUAUUCUCAGAUAAAUAAGAUCUCUAUGUACCCAUAUCCUAGUUACUUCUUCCAGAAUACUAAAUACCUGUGACCUAAGAGUUUUAACUCAUAUUUGCAGGGAAGGGUGAAGAGAUUUCUACAAUGGGUCAUCUGAAACCCGUAAGAGCAUAUUCUACUUCAAAUUAGCUGCUGCCUUCAGUAGCAGCCACCACAGAAAUCUGUCCUGGUCUGCCUGUGCCCCACGAGUAGCUGGGAUACAGGAAGGGAGAUCAAAGGGGCAAAGCACUCCUUGUGAGACCCCUCAUCUCCUGCCAUCAAGCUGCUGAGCUGUUCUGGCAGGACCUCUAUUUGGACAGCCAUUCCUUGGAUCCAUUGAGAAAAAGCCCUGGAAGUCAGCUGGAUUUUGCUGAAAAUUUGGGGGGAUUCAGUACAAGAACAGGAACACAAGUUUAGUCAUCCAGGCUUGAAAACUGUAUUCUGAUCAUCUUGCCAUCUGGUGCUCCCCACCAGUACUGUUUAUCUUACCAACAACCAUGGACUUGAAUAAGCAGGUUGAAUAAAAAUCUAACCUGCCUAAGCUUCAGACACAAACCUAACACAUUGGUUGUGUCUUUUAAAAUGCUACAAUUAUUGCAGUCUCAGCUGCUAAUUCCAUUAUCAGAUCCUUUAGCACACAGAAAUAACCUUGUUUCCUUGCGCCACAAAGCACUGUAAAGUUUUCAAAUCCAGUCACGUAUGUCUGCAAAAAGCUCUCAGGUUAGAAACAGAGGACAAACGUAACCUGCCCACGGCGUGUGGCCGUGUGCUGAAGCAGGAUGUCUACUGCGUAGACAAAUACGGAAAUGUAUGUCUUACAGUAUUCUCACACAUGAGCAUCUCUUCCAUAUCUUACCUGUCCCCAGGCAUAGAGGUUAUUGUGGGUCUGGGAAGGGUUCACUUUAGACAAGAGGAACCGGGCCUAUUAAGACAAAACAUUAGAGAAGCAGUUAUGUAAAAUGACAGACCUGUCUGCUCCCUCACAACUUCUUACUGCCUUAAAUACAUGACUAGUGAUGUUCCUCUGCUUUUGCAAGCAAGGUACUAAUUUAACUUAAAGAGGUUUCCAGUCCAGAAACAGCCCUGCUCCACAGACAACUUGUCUCCAAGGGGACAAGCUGCCCUGCCUCACCUGGCAGGGCAGCUCUGCUUCCAUGUGACACGGCACGUCGCCAGCACUGUCCCUCACGUGCCCCCAUCCGCUCUUCAGAAAAGAGGUCAAUGGAGAACCAGCAUAACAUGAUCACAUCAGAAAUUAAUACCAAAUCUUUGUUUAAGAGCAUCAAUUCCAGCCUCUUCGCUGCUACAAACAAGCCAGACACAGACAAGCACUGCACAACUGCAAUUCCAGGAAGAGCAAAAAUAGGAACUAUUUUAUAUCCUCAUUCGGCAUCCGAGAAUAAAGGAACAGAUGGUCAAUCA